rnacentral:lncRNA from 1 species
CUUUUCCAAAGUUGCUCUGCUUAAUGCAGUGGCUUUCAAUCGACAAACUUUGAAUUGGCUCCUACAAUCACUGAGGUUCAGAAGCAUCCCGCUCUACUUACAAUCACCAUUUCAACCAAAUCGAGUGUAAGAUUUCGUCUCCGCCAACUGUCUCGAUCGCGGGCGGUUUUAAAAUACCCCAAUUUCCGAAUCGAGACAGCUGCUGCAACCUUCAGGGCAUCCUUUCUAAUCGCGCGAAGCUAAUUUCGUAACACGGAAGUCUUGGUGCUGCACCCCUUAAUGCACCAUCUUAGAAAGAUUGCUCAGUUCAGUUCGCGAUAUCGACUGCUUCGGGCGUAGCAGCUUUUCCGGUUCAGAAAAAUUCCUUCGAAUUAGCAGCUGAAUUCGCUCCCGAAAAGUCGUGCGUGAGUUCGCGGAUCGGUUACGUUACGACAUUCGUCGCAAGAUUGUUCAAACGAAGGAACAGAACCUGUGAGCAGUCCUUUGAUCCAAUCUGCCGGAAAAAAGGUAGUGCACUCCAAAUAAUCUCUGGACAAAAGCUUCACAUCAACCUUCACACUGACGCAGCUGCUUGGCUGUGAACUGGCAAAGGUGGCCACCGAAGGGUCGAAAACGCUUUGGGAAGCUCGGUGUAGUAACCGAAGCAGCAGAACUAGUAGCAGGCGUGGCUCGAGUUCUAGUUCCAGCAGUGCCAGUAGCAGACACAGCAGUCGCAGUUCGGAUAGAAAAGUGAAAAGUCUCGGCAGUAGCGGAAGUACCAGCGGACCCGAAUUCAUGCCAGAGGAACUAAUGCACCAAACGAGGAUCGUGCCAAUACAGGCGUGCGGAAUUAUUAUUCACCGUAUACCACCAAGUAAGCAGAGCACGAAUGCACGCCACUUUUUUUUCCAUUAGGCCUGGGUUUGUGGGCACUUCACUCCCCUUCACUGUUUGUUUGUGGUUUCUAAAAGAGCGUCUUUGUUUACUUAUUCUGUGCGUCGUCGGAAGUUUUCUGAUCAACUCUUCAGCGGUGUAAAAUUAUCUCAAUUCGUCUCAUGAUAAUCCUGUUUAUUUGUAGGAAGUAAUACUAUAAAAUGUGUUCUAACGAUUCAAGAAUAGAAUUGUUGAAUCAUAAGAGUAACAGUAAAUAACACAAAAGUAGCAAGGAAAUCAUUUCACUGAAAAACUUGUUCUGUCAUUUAAUCUUCCGUAUAAAUAGUAUGCCUUUCUAUAUCUCCCUUUUCCCUUAUCGGCCUGCAUUCUGAUGCAUAGAAGAUAGAAGAUACCCAACAAUGGAAAUGCCUUUUCGUCCCAAAAACAAUCAUUUGGUUGAAGCCUUUCAAAAGCAGAGCGAUGUGCUAAUUUCCAUCGUAUUAAGCUUUGAUCAGUGAGAACCUGCAAUUUUCCUAGUUUUGCAGUAAAUAUUGCUGAUACAAACCAAUGCCAAACGAUUCUUUCCCAUUGUGAAAUAAGAUUUUGGUAAAUCUUGAUCGUUUGUUUGGAAAUAAUGCAAUAAAAUUAUUACUUAUCGUUGCCUAUAUUCGUCGUAUCUAUUUUUAUUUUUGUCACACUCAGUUUUUAUUCCUCUCACAACUAACAGUUCACUGUUAUAUAGUGAGUGGUCAAAAUACUGCACUUCAACGUAAUAAUAAAAUGGUUUCCUACGUGGCUCAAUUGAUCGCUAAUCAGAUUUCGCUCGGUACGUCUUCGUCCAUGCGAUUUCUAUGAAAGAAAAGUGCAAAGUGGAUCAUUGAAGUGAAGUUA